GACAGAGGCCUCAAGCGUUAGGCGGAAUCCCUGGGCUUAAAGCGUGUGUAGGCGGAUCGUUAAGUGUCUUGUGAAAUCCCACGGCUCACCCGUGGAACUGCUGGGCAUACUGGCGAUCUUGGGCCAACUAGGGGCAACUGGAACAAGCGGUGGAGCGGUGAAAUGCGUAGAUAUCGCUUGGAACGCCAAAGGUGAAAACAGGUUGCUGGGGUUGUGCCGACGCUGAGACACGAAAGCCAGGGGAGCAAACGGG
rnacentral:rRNA from 1 species